GGAUGGCUUGAGUGUGGUAGAGGCAAGUGGAAUUCCAUGUGUAGCGGUAAAACGCGUAAAUAUAUGGAGGAACACCAGUGGCGAAGGCGGCUUGCUGGGCCAUAACUGACACUGAGGCACGAAAGCGUGGGGAGCAAACAGGAUUAGAUACCCUGGUAGUCCACGCCGUAAACGAUGAGUACUAAGUGUAGGAGAAAUUCUGUGCUGUAGUUAACGCAAUAAGUACUCCGCCUGAGUAGUACGUACGCAAGUAUGAAACUCAAAGGAAUUGACGGGACCCCGCACAAGCGGUGGAUCAUGUUGUUUAAUUCGAUGAUACGCGAAGAACCUUACCAGGUCUUGACAUCCCCUGCAAAGCUAUGGAGACAUAGUGGAGGUUAUCAGGGAGACAGGUGGUGCAUGGUUGUCGUCAGCUCGUGUCGUGAGAUGUUGGGUUAAGUCCCGCAACGAGCGCAACCCUUAUUGCUAGUUACCAUCAUUAAGUUGGGGACUCUAGCGAGACUGCCAGUGAUAAACUGGAGGAAGGUGGGGAUGACGUCAAAUCAUCAUGCCCCUUAUGACCUGGGCUACAAACGUGAUACAAUGGCUGAAACAAAGGGCAGCGAAGCAGUGAUGUGGAGCGAAACCCAAAAAAG
rnacentral:rRNA from 1 species